CAGGCCUAACACAUGCAAGUCGAACGAAGGCUUCGGCGUUAGUGGCGCACGGGUGCGUAACGCGUGGGAAUCUGCCCCUUGGUUCGGAAUAACAGUUAGAAAUGACUGCUAAUACCGGAUACGACCGUAAGUCCAAAGAUUUAUCGCCGAGGGAUGAGCCCGCGUAGGAUUAGCUAGUUGGUGUGGUAAAGGCGCACCAAGGCGACGAUCCUUAGCUGGUCUGAGAGGAUGAUCAGCCACACUGGGACUGAGACACGGCCCAGACUCCUACGGGAGGCAGCAGUGGGGAAUAUUGGACAAUGGGCGAAAGCCUGAUCCAGCAAUGCCGCGUGAGUGAUGAAGGCCUUAGGGUUGUAAAGCUCUUUUACCCGGGAUGAUAAUGACAGUACCGGGAGAAUAAGCCCCGGCUAACUCCGUGCCAGCAGCCGCGGUAAU
rnacentral:rRNA from 1 species